rnacentral:rRNA from 1 species
UACGUAGGGUGCGAGCGUUGUCCGGAAUUAUUGGGCGUAAAGAGCUCGUAGGCGGUUUGUCGCGUCUGCUGUGAAAGUCCGGGGCUCAACUCCGGAUCUGCGGUGGGUACGGGCAGACUAGAGUGCGGUAGGGGAGACUGGAAUUCCUGGUGUAGCGGUGAAAUGCGCAGAUAUCAGGAGGAACACCGGUGGCGAAGGCGGGUCUCUGGGCAGUAACUGACGCUGAGGAGCGAAAGCGUGGGGAGCGAACAGG